rnacentral:rRNA from 1 species
GACGAACGCUGGCGGCGUGCUUAACACAUGCAAGUCGAACGGUGAACGAGGGAGCUUGCUCCCUCCGGAUCAGUGGCGAACGGGUGAGUAACACGUGAGCAAUCUGCCCCGAACUCUGGGAUAAGCGUUGGAAACGACGUCUAAUACCGGAUACGACGCGGGAGGGCAUCCUCUCCGCGUGGAAAGAACUUCGGUUCGGGAUGAGCUCGCGGCCUAUCAGCUUGUUGGUGAGGUAACGGCUCACCAAGGCGACGACGGGUAGCCGGCCUGAGAGGGUGGCCGGCCACACUGGGACUGAGACACGGCCCAGACUCCUACGGGAGGCAGCAGUGGGGAAUAUUGCACAAUGGGCGCAAGCCUGAUGCAGCAACGCCGCGUGAGGGACGACGGCCUUCGGGUUGUAAACCUCUUUUAGCAGGGAAGAAGCGAAAGCGACGGUACCUGCAGAAAAAGCACCGGCUAACUACGUG